rnacentral:sRNA from 2 species
CAUCAUCAGUAGAGGUUUACAUAGCCAUGUAAAUUUCAAAACUAGAGCUCCGCAAUACGCGGCAUGCUGAGGGUUAUCCGUCCUUACACCACUUUUAUUUGUGUGUUGUUUUGUGAGAAAUGGGUUUCCUUCCGUUCCCGGCUCUGGAGACCAAUUUCUACGUCGUCCUUUUUCCCAAAUUAACUUUUAUGGCUGGGCUUAUUUUCCUGUGGGCUUUAGCUGUGGAGGAGGCGUGACAUAUCAUGGCCAUUCUCUGUUGUUUAUCAUGGCCGGUAUUGGUACCACGCUUGUGUCCGUCGGGCUAGGAUUUUGCAUUGUAAUUUCCGUAUGCUGUGUAAAAACAUAAGGGAGAACGGCAUGCUAUUUUAUCCCGAGUAAUUCGUAUUGGAUUAUUCCUAUCACUUUUAUGCCUCGUAAAAUUCAGCUGCAUCUUGCAAACUCACAUCGUCUCCGUCCCCCGAGUGCUGGACAGAUGCUCCAUGAAUCCACUUGAGGAUACAGUUUUCCAAUCAAUUAACUUGUUUCCUCCCAAAAAAAAAAAAAUCAGAAACCUACGCCCUUCACAAAACCCCUCAAUUAAUUCAGCCAGCGGCCAUGAAAUGCGCGCCUAAAUGAUUUCCUAUCGUCAUAUCCACGUAUGUCAUUAUCUAAAAAUAUUCAAACACAAACUACCGCUGCGUCAACCGUCCUUUUAUACUACUUCAAGCCUUCUUCGCCCGUCCAGUCUGAAUGAUCUCCCCGGUAUGUUUAUCAUCUUUUCGCAGGACCGGCCAACUCGUCCCGUCCGCCUUCGCUAGGUUCAAAUCCAUCUUCGUGCCCAUGAUCUGGAAACUGGACUUCUCUGUAUCGAUUGGUGCGUAGAGGAUGAGGGUUUCCUUGAAGCGCUUGUUAUCAGAGGUCGGGAGAUCCAAUUCUAUUGUAGUAGGCGAGGUGAAGUUGACUUUCGCAUUGGCUUUGUCGAUCUUCUUGAGGUAGAGGGUGGCCAUGAUGGAGGUAGCGGUUUGGUAGAAAUCGGUCCGAAUAUUGUCAACCUUCUCCUCCGUCUUCUUCGCCUUCCCAAUAAACAAAUGCCUCGACCUUUGCUUACAGCCAGCUAUCUUCAUAAAUUCAUCGAAUUCUAACACUCUGCGCUUGCAACAGCUCCAGCCCUUGCUCCCCUCAUGAAAAAUAGGCAGACCCGGAUGAUGUUCGCAUUUCUCGUCAUCCCUUGGAACGGAAGGUGAAUAUUUACCAUUGCAGCCUCUUCGACGACAUGCCGCACCAGCCUCAAUCGCAAGGGAUGGGUCAUCGGAUUCUGAUUCUGGAGGAGGAGACGUUGAAGGUUUGGGGGUAUGCGCACCUGCCGCGGAGAGAGUGGUUGGAGUGUUUCCGAUGGCAAUCGGAAUAUGUUUCGGAGUAGUGUCGGGUGCUAUCUCGGGGGCAUCAUUUUUAGGCUCUGGAGCUGGAGCGUUAUCGACUGUUGAAUGUUUCCCCGUCGUGCACGGUGGGAUGGCCAGGAAUUCGUCGAAACUGAGAACGCGAGGUUUACAACAUUUCCAUCCUUUGUGCCCUUCGUGAAAUUCAGGCGGCCCAGGAUGAUAGACGCACACUUCGUCAGGGUCCGUAAACACCUUACCGCAGCCCUUGUGGACACAUUUUUGCGCCAUAUUUUAGGUAGCGUUUUAUGAUCCAGUAAACAGAUCCCUCAAUCGUUAUAAGAGCCGGUUGAUGACCUGUAGCCGUUUGGCUUGCAGAUUGGAACCAUUGGUGGGAUGUUAAGUGCUUCUGGAAUUAUUUAACUACGACAUCACGAAGCUUAUGCCAGCGCUAGCUCCCCAAAACCAUCGAAGCUUCUGGAGCCCCAGACAAUGAAAUAUGGACAACACCAAAGCAGACAACGAUAUUUCCCAAGUUGAUCUUGAAAAUUAAGGCUCACAGGGGCUACCUAAACACGACACGAUGCGCACUUCAAUCCGGCUAUUCCAAAAUGCCCAACUCACCCUCUUCACACGCGUCCAUUGCUCUCUAUGCGAUACGGCAAAAAACACCAUAGCAAAGCUACGAGAAAGGAAGCCAUUCACAUAUUCAGAAAUUGAUGUUAUGACCCCACAAAACAAACGGUGGAAGGACGUUUACGAGUUUGACGUACCUGUGCUGCACGUUCAGCGAGUCCUUUCUACAUCCAAUGACGGAGGCGAAACUCUAUCAGAUCCAAAAAAGUUAUUUCACCGAUUUACGGAGCAGGAAGUUGAGAAGGCAAUAAAGGAGGUAGAAUAAUUGAUAUAAAAAUUACGAAUAUGUGUGAUUAUGUUGCUAUCAUCAAAUAUUAAAGUGCAUGUCUACCAUAUCUCGCGCAAGGGACAUUUGACCUCCUUAUAAGCCCGCCCGAGCAGUAUUUAGCGAGUUCGACAGAUGGGCAGGAAGAGCAGCGACGUCGGAAAUCACAGAUAUCUGCAUAUAAACGUCAGCAUCCAAUGCAAGAGGCCGAAAAGGAUAAAGAAAUUUUUGAAUAUAAAAGCCCCGUCCUACCAUGUGAAACCCUUGCUCUGCGUACUUGCUUGCGGAAUCGCCAUCUGCGCUGUAAAUUCCAGCCUUCUUACCGUUGUCGACGGCUGCCUUGCGAAUUCUUUCAAUUGCAGCCACCAAGUCAGGAUGGAAAUCACCCAUAACAGGCCGACUAAUAUUGUUUCCCAGGUCCCACGGACCAACCAACAACACGUCUACUCCUGGAACUUUGGCGAUUUCCUCAACCUAUCCGUUGCACUCGAAUUACCCUAGUCAGCUUGCCAGGCGUUUAAAUACCGUCAAAGGAUGAUUUAGUGAUUGAUUAAAAAAAUAUCUGCAAACUUCACAUUUUCAAAAGCCUCCUUGGUUUCUAUUUGAACAAUUGUAACCAAGGCCUCAUUUGCCUGAAGCAAAUAGUCCGUUUGAGUAAGAUUCCCAAAUGAGCCCAUGGAAAAUGGGCUUCCAAACCCUCUUCUGCCCAAGGGAGGAAACUUGGCCGAUUCCACUAGUUUCCUUGCAUCGUCUACGGUGUGGAGGAGAGGGACAAGAAUUCCGUGGGCUCCUGCGUCCAAGGCACCUAUUCUUGGAAUUAACAAUCACACCACCUGCGUGCGAUCUGGGUGAUAAGUGAAUCCUUCUAGAAAAGGGAUACAUACGCUUAACCAUCCACGACUCGUUAGCAGCAAUUCGCACGACGGGACUGACACCCGUAGCGGCAAUUGCAGCCACGGCUUCGUGCAUUUGGUCAUCUAGAAUCAACAAUAGUUAAUAAUUUGCACAAUAUAUAUAUAACUGAGGAGCUCGUGCCAGGCUAGAGGCUUCCCCCCUUGCCAAUUCGUAGCAGUACGGGGUUACGUAUAUCAGAGAACAAAAUCAAUCCGCCGUUUUCACUGCUUCAUUAUUUACCUGCAAUGUUUCCGUGCUCCGUGUCGACACAGAUCCAAUCAAAGCCGCUCCUGGCCAUGAUCCGUGAAUGGUUGGCGCCUGGAAGCAUUUGCCAUGCGCCAAACGACACGCCUUUGCCUGUUUGAAGCGCAGUCCGGAGGCGAUUGGCAGCUUGCAUUGUUGGUUAUGAAGAUGAUUAUUCUGUAUAAUACUAGAAUCGAAGUAAAUGUGAUUUAAUUGGCA